rnacentral:rRNA from 1 species
GUGUCAGCAGCCGCGGUAAUACGGAGGGUGCAAGCGUUGUCCGGAUUUAUUGGGUUUAAAGGGUGCGUAGGCGGUUCUUUAAGUCUGGGGUGAAAGCCCGUUGCUCAACAACGGAACUGCCCUGGAAACUGGAGAACUUGAGUACAGACGAGGGUGGCGGAAUGGAUGGUGUAGCGGUGAAAUGCAUAGAUACCAUCCAGAACCCCGAUUGCGAAGGCAGCUGCCUAGACUGUAACUGACGCUGAGGCACGAAAGCGUGGGGAGCGAACAGGAUUAGAUACCCCCGUAGUCC